GAUGAACGCUGGCUACAGGCUUAACACAUGCAAGUCGAGGGGAAACGACGGGGAAGCUUGCUUCCCCGGGCGUCGACCGGCGCACGGGUGAGUAACGCGUAUCCAACCUGCCUCUGACUAAGGGAUAACCCGUCGAAAGUCGGCCUAAUACCUCAUGGCAUCGUCUGCGGGCAUCCAACGACGAUUAAAGAUUUCAUCGGUCAGGGAUGGGGAUGCGUCUGAUUAGCUUGUUGGCGGGGUAACGGCCCACCAAGGCUACGAUCAGUAGGGGUUCUGAGAGGAAGGUCCCCCACAUUGGAACUGAGACACGGUCCAAACUCCUACGGGAGGCAGCAGUGAGGAAUAUUGGUCAAUGGGCGGGAGCCUGAACCAGCCAAGUAGCGUGCAGGAUGACGGCCCUAUGGGUUGUAAACUGCUUUUAUGCGGGGAUAAAGUGAGGGACGUGUCCUUCAUUGCAGGUACCGCAUGAAUAAGGACCGGCUAAUUCCGUG
rnacentral:rRNA from 1 species